GCUCAGAACGAACGCUGGCGGCGUGCUUAUACAUGCAAGUUGUGCGAGAAAGUUCCUUCGGGAAGCGAGUAGAGCGGCGAACGGGUGAGUAACACGUAAGGAACCUGCCCUCAAAUCUGGAAUAACCUUGCCAACGCGGGGCUAAUGCCGGAUGUGGUUCUUUUCUCGCAUGGGAGAAGAAUUAAAGGUGACCUCUUCUUGAAAGUUACUGUUUGAGGAUGGCCUUGCGGCCCAUUAGCUUGUUGGUGAGGUAACGGCUCACCAGGGCGACGAUGGGUAGCCGACCUGAGAGGGUGAUCGGCCACAUUGGGACUGAGAUACGGCCCAGACUCCUACGGGAGGCAGCAGUAGGGAAUUUUGCGCAAUGGACGAAAGUCUGACGCAGCAACGCCGCGUGAGGGAUGACGGCCUUCGGGUUGUAAACCUCUGUUGAGUGGGAAGAAACAGGGUAUGGCUAAUAUCCAUAUCCUCUGACGGUACUACUCGAGGAAGCCCCGGCUAACUACGUGCCAGCAGCCGCGGUAAUACGUAGGGGGCAAGCGUUGUUCGGAAUCACUGGGCGUAAAGGGAGCGUAGGCGGAAAGGUAAGUUAGAAGUCAAAGGCAUGGGCUCAACCCAAUGUACGCUUUUAAUACUGUCUUUCUUGAGUAUGGAAGAGGGUGAUGGAAUUCCUGGUGUAGCGGUGGAAUGCGUAGAUAUCAGGAAGAACACCAGUUGCGAAGGCGGUCACCUGGUCCAAUACUGACGCUGAGGCUCGAAAGCUAGGGGAGCGAACAGGAUUAGAUACCCUGGUAGUCCUAGCCGUAAACGAUGGACACUAGUUGCUGGAAGAGUCAAUCCUUUCGGUGACGAAGCUAACGCAUUAAGUGUCCCGCCUGGGAAGUACGCUCGCAAGAGUGAAACUCAAAGGAAUUGACGGGGGCCCGCACAAGCGGUGGAGCAUGUGCUUUAAUUCGAUGCAACGCGAAGAACCUUACCUGGGUUUGACAUGGGAGUGAAACCUUGUAGAGAUACAAGGCCUUCCUUCGGGAACACUCUACACAGGUGCUGCAUGGUUGUCGUCAGCUCGUGUCGUGAGAUGUUGGGUUAAGUCCCGCAACGAGCGCAACCCCUACUCUUAGUUGCCAGCGGGUAAAGCCGGGAACUCUAAGGGGACUGCCUGGAAUAACCAGGAGGAAGGUGGGGAUGACGUCAAAUCCUCAUGGCCCUUACGCCCAGGGCUAGACACGUGCUACAAUGGCUGGAACAAUGGGAUGCUAUACCGUGAGGUGGCGCCAAUCCCCUAAAACCAGUCUCAGUUCGGAUUGGAGUCUGCAAUUCGACUCCAUGAAGUUGGAAUCGCUAGUAAUCGCGGAUCAGCAUGCCGCGGUGAUACGUUCCCGGGCCUUGUACACACCGCCCGUCAAGCCAUGAAAGAUGGCAGUGCCCGAAGUCGCUGUACCAACCAUUGGGAGGAAUGCGCCGAAG
rnacentral:rRNA from 1 species